rnacentral:sRNA from 24 species
GAUCAGGUUUUCUAGGGUUCCGCGGCGUCACGGCGCCGGUCCGGUCCGAGAGAAAACGCACAACCGGCGGGAGAGCGCCGGCUGUGUACACGGCGGGACAAAAGCCCGGGAGGA